UACAGAGGGGGCAAGCGUUGUUCGGAAUUACUGGGCGUAAAGGGCGCGUAGGCGGCCUGUUAAGUCGAACGUGAAAUCCCCGGGCUCAACCCGGGAACUGCGUCCGAUACUGGCAGGCUUGAAUUCGGGAGAGGGAUGCGGAAUUCCAGGUGUAGCGGUGAAAUGCGUAGAGAUCCGGAAGAACACCGGUGGCGAAGGCGGCCUGCUGGGCAGUUUUGCUGACACUGAGGCGCGACAGCGUGGGGAGCAAACAGG
rnacentral:rRNA from 1 species